AGAGUUUGAUCCUGGCUCAGAAUCAACGCUGGCGGCGCGCUUAACACAUGCAAGUCGAACGAGAAAGCUGGAGCAAUCCAGUGAGUAAAGUGGCGUACGGGUGAGUAACACGUGGAUCAUCUACCUCUUUGUGGGGGAUAACUCUGGGAAACCGGAGCUAAUACCGCAUAAGCUCGAGAGAGGAAAGCCCCUAUUUAAAAGAUGGGGGCGCAGAGAGAGGAGUCCGCGGCCGAUUAGCUAGUUGGCGGGGUAAUGGCCCACCAAGGCGAUGAUCGGUAGCCGGCCUGAGAGGGCACACGGCCACACUGGCACUGAAACACGGGCCAGACUCCUACGGGAGGCAGCAGUGGGGAAUCUUGCACAAUGGGGGCAACCCUGAUGCAGCGACGCCGCGUGAGCGAUGAAGCCCUUCGGGGUGUAAAGCUCUUUCGGCAGGGACGAUAAUGACGGUACCUGAAGAAGAAGCUGCGGCUAACUACGUGCCAGCAGCCGCGGUAAUACGUAGGCAGCAAGCGUUGUUCGGAAUUACUGGGCGUAAAGAGUGUGUAGGCGGUUUUCUAAGUUCGGUGUGAAAUCUCCCGGCUUAACUGGGAGGGUGCGCCGAAAACUGGAAGGCUUGAGUGUCGGAGAGGAUAGCGGAAUUCCUGGUGUAGCGGUGAAAUGCGUAGAUAUCAGGAGGAACACCUGCGGUGUAGACGGCUAUCUGGACGACCACUGACGCUGAGACACGAAAGCGUGGGUAGCAAACAGGAUUAGAUACCCUAGUAGUCC
rnacentral:rRNA from 1 species